GUCUACAAUUAUACUUCUCGUAUAGUGGGUGUUUAUGUCGAAUUGGAGUGUUCAUGCCAAAUUGGGGUGUUCUUAUAACAGGAUCCGGCGGCAAAAAAAGUUCACUAGUUGAUUAUACUUGUUUUGUGGUUUUUGGUACAAGUCAAAGAACAUUAGAGAUCAAGAACAUUAAGGAGGUGUUUGAUAAAGGUGAAUGGAAUGAUGGGAAAUGUAAUUGAGUGUUAUUCACAUGUUUGGUUCCAGUUAAGAAUGGAAACAAAGAAUCAUAAUUGGAUUCCCUUUCCAACUCAUCCUUUCCCCACUAAAAAGUAAAGGAUGAAAAGGAAUGCAAAUUUAUAUUGUGCUCGUUCCGCUUCGUGUCCUUGAUGUGAAUGAGAUCUGGCAAUAAAAAACAAGGAUAUAAUAAAGAAGGCACAUGAAGUGCACAUGCUAUAUAAACUUCAACCAUACCUAAUUUUCCUUCCAGGUUGUCCUGGAAGCGGAAGUCAAGUUAUGUAAUAUAAAGUUUGAAGUUGCUUUAUGGAUUUUGAUUGUUUUAGCUAAAUGCGGAAAUGGUAACGUUGAUAGGACCCGUAGAGACCCCUUUGAACUAUUGGCUCAUGAUAAAUUGAUUGUUUUGGUAUAAUUAUUGAUUAUGUCAAAUGUAAGAAUUACGAAGUUUUGGUUAUUUCCAUUGA